rnacentral:rRNA from 1 species
UGGCGGCGUGCCUAACACAUGCAAGUCGAGCGGGGACAUGCGACGGAAGCGAAGUUUCGGAUGGAGCGGAAGAUGCAUGUCUAGCGGCGGACGGGUGAGUAACGCGUGAGCAACCUGUCCCUUACAGGGGAUAACACAGCGAAAGUUGUACUAAUACCGCAUAAGACCACGGGAGGACAUCCUUCAGGGGUCAAAAGGAGUAAUCCGGUAAGGGGUGGGCUCGCGUCCGAUUAGAUAGUUGGUGAGGUAACGGCCCACCAAGUCGACGAUCGGUAGCCGACCUGAGAGGGUGAUCGGCCACAUUGGGACUGAGACACGGCCCAAACUCCUACGGGAGGCAGCAGUGGGGAAUAUUGGGCAAUGGGGGGAACCCGUUCGACCCAGCAACGCCGCGUGAGGGAAGAAGGUUUUCGGAUCGUAAACCUCUGUCCUUGGUGAAGAGAGAGAGACGGUAGCCAAGGAGGAAGCCCCGGCUAACUACGUGCCAGCCGCUGC